AAGGGUAUAGCUCAGUGGCAGAGUGUGUGUUUAGCAUGCAUGAGGGCCUGGGUUCAGUCCCCAGCACCUCAA
rfam:Camelus ferus unplaced genomic scaffold scaffold843, whole genome shotgun sequence.